CCUACGGGUGGCAGCAGUGGGGGAUAUUGCACAAUGGGGGAAACCCUGAUGCAGCGACGCCGCGUGAGUGAAGAAGUAUUUCGGUAUGUAAAGCUCUAUUAGCAGGGAAGAAAAUGACAGUACCUGACCAAGAAGCCCCGGCUAACUACGUGCCAGCAGCCGCGGUAAUACGUAGGGUGCAAGCGUUAUCCGGAAUGACUGGGCGUAAAGGGCGCGUAGACGGGUUUGUAAGUCUGGAGUGAAAUCCCGGGGCCCAACCCCAGGACUGCUUUUGAAACUGUGUAACUGGAGUACAGGAGGGGCAGGGGGAAUUCUUGGUGUAGCGGUAAAAUGCGUAGAGAUCAGGAGGAACAC
rnacentral:rRNA from 1 species